rnacentral:misc_RNA from 2 species
GGGGCUGAAGGAUGCCCAGAAGGUACCCCAUUGUAUGGGAUCUGAUCUGGGGCCUCGGUGCACAUGCUUUACAUGUGUUUAGUCGAGGUUAAAAAACGUCUAGGCCCC